rnacentral:rRNA from 1 species
CCUACGGGAGGCAGCAGUGGGGAAUAUUGCACAAUGGGGGAACCCCUGAUGCAGCGACGCCGCGUGAGUGAAGCAGUAUUUCGGUACGUAACGCUCUAUCAGCAGGGAAGAAAAUGACUGUACCUGACCAAGAAGCCCCGGCUACCUCCGUGCCAGCAGCCGCGGUAAUACGUAGGGGGAAAGCGUUAUCCGGAAUUACUGGGUGGAAAGGGAGCGUCGACGGAAGCGCAAGUCUGGAGUGAAAUGCCGGGGCCCAACCCCGGAACUGCUUUGGAAACUGUGCAGCUGGAGUGCAGGAGAGGUAAGCGGAAUUCCUAGUGUAGCGGUGAAAUGCGUAGAUAUUAGGAGGAACACCAGUGGCGAAGGCGGCUUACUGGACUGUAACUGACGUUGAGGCUCGAAAGCGUGGGGAGCAAACAGGAUUAGAUACCCUUGUAGUC